rnacentral:rRNA from 1 species
GAUGAACGCUGGCGGCGUGCUUAACACAUGCAAGUCGAACGGAAAGGCCAGUGCUUGCACUGGUACUCGAGUGGCGAACGGGUGAGUAACACGUGGGUGAUCUGCCCUGUACUUCGGGAUAAGCUUGGGAAACUGGGUCUAAUACCGGAUAGGACAACUUUUUGGAUAUUGUUGUGGAAAGCUUUUGCGGUAUGGGAUGAGCUCGCGGCCUAUCAGCUUGUUGGUGGGGUAAUGGCCUACCAAGGCGUCGACGGGUAGCCGGCCUGAGAGGGUGUACGGCCACAUUGGGACUGAGAUACGACCCAGACUCCUACGGGAGGCAGCAGUGGGGAAUAUUGCACAAUGGGCGCAAGCCUGAUGCAGCGACGCCGCGUGGGGGAUGAAGGCCUUCGGGUUGUAAACUCCUUUCGCUAGGGACGAAGCGUAAGUGACGGUACCUGGAGAAGAAGCACCGGCUAACUACGUG